GAUGAACGCUGGCGGCAGGCUUAACACAUGCAAGUCGAGCGGGGUGAGGUACUUCGGUACUGAUCCUAGCGGCGGACGGGUGAGUAAUGCUUAGGAAUCUGCCAUUUAGUGGGGGACAACAUUCCGAAAGGGAUGCUAAUACCGCAUACGUCCUACGGGAGAAAGCAGGGGAUCUUCGGACCUUGCGCUAAAUGAUGAGCCUAAGUCGGAUUAGCUAGUUGGUGGGGUAAAGGCCUACCAAGGCGACGAUCUGUAGCGGGUCUGAGAGGAUGAUCCGCCACACUGGGACCGGGACACGGCCCAGACGCCUACGGGAGGCAGCAGUGGGGAAUAUUGGACAAUGGGCGGAAGCCUGAUCCAGCCAUGCCGCGUGUGUGAAGAAGGCCUUUUGGUUGUAAAGCACUUUAAGCGAGGAGGAGGCUACCUGGAUUAAUACUCUGGGAUAGUGGACGUUACUCGCAGAAUAAGCACCGGCUAACUCUGUGCCAGCCGCCGCAGUAAUAC
rnacentral:rRNA from 1 species